ACAUAAGACAAAAUUCAUUAAAGAACAUUCAAACAUGAUCAUAUAAGGAGAAGAACACCAUCAACCUUGUACCAAUCAAUAUACAAUGAAUAGAUCAUUCAUU